rnacentral:rRNA from 1 species
UACGUAGGGUGCGAGCGUUGUCCGGAUUUAUUGGGCGUAAAGAGCGUGUAGGCGGUUUGGUAGGUCCGUUGUGAAAACUCGAGGCUCAACCUCGAGACGCCGAUGGAAACCAUCAGACUAGAGUCCGGAAGAGGAGAGUGGAAUUCCUGGUGUAGCGGUGGAAUGCGCAGAUAUCAGGAGGAACACCGGUGGCGAAGGCGGGUCUCUGGGCCGAUACUGACACUGAGGAGCGAAAGCGUGGGGAGCGAACAGG